rnacentral:lncRNA from 10 species
UCAUGAAUGUAUAUAUAAUUUCACUAAUCCCUUGAAAGAAACUACAAAAUUUAAAAUAGAACUAAAAUGAUCAACUGUAAAUAGAUGAAAGCAAGUAGAAACAAACAGGACAAAGGUGGCAGCAUAGGAACGUUUGUAAACAGUAUAGUCUUAAUCAGGAGGACACGGAUUAGGUAUUAGUGGACUAUGUGGUAAUGAACACUCCCACGUGCCCACAUACACACGCGUACACACACUUGCAGAACUGAGGCAGGAAAAUAGGGUCUGGAGGCAGGGAACAUAAGGCUGAUUUACACUUCAGCUAUGACAGGAAAUAUCCUCUCCAUAGGGCAGACACCGAGUAAAUGACUGUAACUUUACUUUGUCCUCUCCAUUUACAGCGGGCAUACUCGAAGCAACCAAUGAAAUCCUUUAGGGGGUAUUUUAAACUCCUAAAAAUUCCUUAAUAGGGCCUUUGAGCUCCUAUGCUUGGGCCCUCUCCCACACUGUGGAGUGUACUUUCACUUUCAAUAAAUUCCUUUGUCCCUUCCUUGCUUUGUGCGUUUUGUCCAAUUCUUUGUUCAAGACACCAAGAACCUCGACACGAACCACCUUUAACAUAGUUUGGUGAACCAGCCUGGAGGCAGAGGUAAUCAAGCAUGAUCCCUAAGGCUGCUCAGGGAGAGAGAACCUAGAAACCUGGCAUGCUGGCAAAAGGAGACCAUCAAGCUUCAGAUGAUCAUGCAACAAAAGUCCCAGCUAGUUCCAGGUGAAGACAACACACCUGGCCUUCAAAAAGCUACUCUGCCUCCACUAGAGAGAACAGGGCGAGAGUUCCAUGAUCCCCAGUAGAGUCUCACUCUGUGUCACAGGCUGAAGUGCAGUGGCACAAUCUUGGCUCACUGCAACCUCCACCUCCCGGGUUCAAGUGAUUCUCCUGCUUCAGCCUCCGGAGUAGCUGGGACUACAGGAUGAAAACUAUAAAUCAUUCGCUUUCCCAGAGUGAAGUUUGACUUAUUCCUGUGGCCAACAUGGCUUAUGGACACCAAGGACAAAUAAGUCAGAAUAACUUGAUGGAAAAGACCUUCAGCGAUAACUACAUAGUUUUCAUCUCUUGUAUGAACAAAGUGUUAAAUUUUCUCUACUAUCAAUUCUUUAGUGAUAUAUUGGCUAUGAUUUUUUUCUGUUCCAUGAUAUAUAUUAUUUUAUCAUAUAAUAUACAUUGAUAUAUGAAUUGAUUAAGGUCAGGGAUUUAUACCAAGAUAAUAAUUUGUUCUAAAAACUAUAUGUUCAGUUUUUAUCAUUAAAAACAUUUUAAAUAAUAACUAAUUCUCAUUUGUAGUCAAUAAGUGGCACAUGCAUAAUCAUAUGGCAAAGAUAUAUUUUUGUUUGGUGCUGUAGGUACAAAUUACAGUUUGAUCUUUCAUACUUUAUGAAAACAAUGGUAUAAAUAGAUAUAUGGUUCAUAUUGCAGUUGAAUAUAAUAUUUAUUCAAUAACAUUUAUUAAUGAUAUUUCAGGAAGUAUUUCUCAUAUUUUAAUGUAUACAUGAACCACAUGGUAUCCUCUUAAAAAAGCAAAUUUUGGUUCAGUUUUUAGAAGAUGGAGCUAAGAUUUUUUCAUUUCAAACUGCUUUGUGAUCCGCUGAUCUCAGUUUCAGUAGCAAAUUUAAAAAUAUGUAUGCUUCUGGAUUUUAAUAGAUAACUGAAAUAAAACAAAAUAUUUUUCAGUACUAAGAGUGGUUAAAUUUCAACAUGAUCUUUGCUUAAAUGAAAGAGACUAUUAGAAGUACAUUUUCUAGUACUCUUUUUUAUUUCUUUUCAUUUUAAAUAUAUUUCCAAAUUACAAUACUUUAAUUUAAUGACUCAUGCUGACUUCAAAAUUAACACCACAGCUAAAAUAUAUGAGCUCCUUUUACAGCAGCGUUUUUCCUCUGGGAAAUAGUAACUUCUCUUGCCAUUGUUUUCAUUAUUUUCACUUCUUUUCUUCUGUACAAGGAUCUGACAAUACAUCCUCAACUUUACUUGCUUGAAAACAGAAGCAGUGGCAAAGAUUAGUGGUGAAAACCAGGAGACUUAAAAAACACAUUUAAUCUCUUUCAUUCCCUUCCUUCCUUCCUUCCUUCCUUCCUUCCUUCCUUCCUUCCUUCCUUCCUUCCUCUCUCUCUUUUUUAUUUUUUGGAAAAUACUCAACUAUCAUCAUUCACUGCCAUUCAAAACAUUUUUCAAUCAUGUAUUGUCACCUAAAAGAUUUAUUCAAAACCUAACGGUGAAUGGAUAAAGAUGCUCAAUUUGGGGGCUCUCAAUAGACAAUUCAGGAAUGCCGAUGAUUUUGCUAUGUCAGUUUGGUGCUAUGAAGGGAGGUAAAAUAUAUUGCUUAAAAUUGUAUAUAUAUACACAUUACAUUAUAUAUACAAAAAUUACAUGUAUAUAUAUAUACACAUUACAUGUAUAUAUUUUAUAAUUUUAUUAAUAUAUAUAGUUUUAAUUACAAUUCUUACAUAUAAUAUAAACAUAAAUUUUAUGUGAUCCUUUUUUCUUGAAUUAAAGGUUAUAUAAUAAAAGCUACCACCUGCAGUUCUCACAGCAGUAGAAUUCCAAAUCAGCCGCUGCAAAAUCAGCAACAGCAGCUGUAACCUGGUUUUUAGAGAAGUUGAAAUCAAUUUUCACAGGUAACUUAAAGUUUAUACAAAUGCAGAUUGUGUUCGCCAGGGUUUAACAUUUGUAUAAUAGUCAUAAAGAUAAUAGUACGAUAAAGAGUUAUUCUUACUGAAUUUCAAUACACAGUCUCUUCUUUUCUGUUAUGGUCUUCAAAGGUAUUAUUUAAGCUUAAUUACAUUUAUGAAAACAAAUUAAUAAAAAUGUCAAAGUUGGGAUUUAAAGAGGUAUACACUUACUAAAAUAAGGUAUGUUUCUUAAACAAAAUGUAUUCUAUUUUAAUCAUUAAUUUAAGACUUUCAGUUCUUCAUGAAUCAGUGACCCAUCAAUAGUGUAUCUUUUACUGUAAGUUAAUUUCAAUCCUAGAUUUGUAUACAAUUAAAGUAACAUAUUUAUCUUAAUCUUUUAAGUUUUUAUAUAUCAUCCAGAAAAAUGAGAUAUCUAUAAUAGUCUUUCAGUUCUGUAAACUUUUCUCUUUUUUCUUUCUUUAAUUUUUUUUUUACUUUUUAUUUUUGGUAACAAUGGUUUUACAUAUUUAUGUGGUAGAUGUACCAUUUUGAUACAAGCAUAAAAUGUGUAAUAAUAAAAUCUAGGUAAUUGGGAUAUUCAUUACAUAAAAUAUUUAUAAUUUAUGUGUGUUGGGAACAUUCCAAAUCUCUUCUUCUAGUUAUUUUUAAAUUUACAAUAAAUUAUUAUUAACUGUAGUCACCCUAUUGUGCUACUGAACACUAGACCUUAUUCUAUUAACCAUCCCCUCUUUAUAACCCCCCGCAAACCCACUACCCUUCCCAACCUCUGGUAACUGUCAUUCUACUCUCUGUCUUUAUGAGAUCAGUUUUCUUUAGUUCCCAUAUAUAAGUGAAAACAUGCAACAUUUAUCUUUCUGUGCCUGGCUUAUUUCACUGAACAUAGUAUCCUCCAGUUCCAUCCAUGUUGUUAUAAUUAUCAUGAUUUCAUUCUUUUGUGUGACUGAAUAAUAAUCCAUUGUGUAUAUAUACCACAUUUUCUGUAUUCAUUCAUUUGUUGUUUGACACAGUUUGAUUUCAUAUCUUGGCUAUGGCAAAUAGUGCUGCAAUAAACAUGGGUGUGCCAACAUCUCUCUCCAAUAGAUGUAUUUCCUUUAUUUUGAAUAAAUACCCAGUAGUGAGAUUGCUGGAUUAUAUUGUAGUUCUAUUUUUAGUUUUUUAAGGAACCUCCUUACUGCUUUCCAUAGUGACUAUACUAAUUUACAUCCCACCGAUAGUGUAUGAGUGUUCCUCCUUCUCCACCUCCUUACCACCAUUUAUUUUCUGUCUUUUUGUAUUUUUGUUAUCCCAUUUGUCCAUUUUGGUUUUCAUUGCCUGUGCUUUUGAGGUCUUAUUCAACAAAUUUUGCCCAGACUAAUGUACUCAAAUAUUUUCCCUAUGUUUUCUUCUAGUAGUUUCAGGUCUUACAUUUAAGUCUUUAAUACAUUUAGAUUUGUUUUUGCAUAUGGUAAGAGAGAGGGUACUAAUUUCAUUCUUCUGCAUAUGGUUAUCUAGUUUUUCAAGCAUCAAUUAUUGAAAAGACUGUCCUUGCUGCAGUGUAUGUUUUUGGUACUUUGUCAAAAAUGAAUUGACUGUAAAUGUGUGGAUUGAUUUGUAGGUUAUCUAUUAUGUUCUAUGUGUCUGUUUUUAUGGCAGUACCAUGCUGAUUUUAAUACUAUAGCUUUGUAGUAUAAUUUGAAGUCAGAUACUGUGCUUCUUCCAGCUUUGUUCUCUUUGUUCAGAAUUGUUGUAGGUAUUCCAGGUCGUUUGUGGUUCCAUAUACAUUUUAGAAUUUUUUUUUAUUUCUGUGAAGAAUUUCAUUAGUACUUUGACACAUACUGUAUUGAAUCUGUAGAUAAUGUUAGGCAGUAUAGACAUCUUAAUAAUAUUGAUUUUUCUAAUUCAUGAUUAUGAAAUAUCUUUCCAUUUUUGUGUCUUCAAUUUACUCCCUUGAUGUUUUAUAGCAUUUUUAUCAACAAAAAUUGUGUAUGUUUAUAAUAUACAGCAUGAUGUUUUGAAAUAUGUAUAUAUUGUAGAAUGGGUAAAUCGAGCUAACUAACAUAUGUAUUCCCUCAUAUGUAUAUAUAUUUGUGUGUGUGUGUAUGGCGAGAACACAUAAAAUCUAUUUUCAAGUUAUUUACAUGUGGGUGGAUUAUCGUUGUACAUUGGCUUAUAACUUAAUUUGUUGUUAAGUGACAAAAGUGGAUGGAUAGUAUGCUUCCUUUUAUGUGGAAGAGGGAACUUGGGGAGCUUAGGGAGUGCACACGCUGGAGGGACUUUUUAUUUUAGCAAUGCUUCUUGCAGUACAUUUAUAACUCACGUAUAGAAAACUUUCACAAUUUUUCAUAAGCAUUUUGCAAUUAUGAUUAAGUGGAUUUUUCAAAGCAAUACAAAUAGAAGGCCAAGGAAGGUGGCUUAUGUCUAUAAUCCCAGCACUUUGGGAGGCCAAGAUGGGCUGAUCACCUGAAGUCAGGGGUUCAAGACCAGCCUGGCCAACGUGGUGAAAUUCUGUCUCUACUAAAAAUACAAAAAUUAGCCAGACACGGUAGCACACAUAUGUAAUCCAAGCUACUCUGGAGGCUGAGGCAGGAGAAUUAUUUGAACCUGAGAGUG